AAGCUUUAGUUCUUCAUGUUUCUGAGCUUCCAAUUGCUUUGCCCAAGAUUCCAAAGAACUCUCCUCAAUCUUGGAUUGCUUUGGUGAUCAAAUUACUAACAAAAACACCAAAACUUAACACAAUUUAAUUAGAAACGAUUGCAAGGGUCCUUCUCAUGCCAAUUGAGUUAAAAGGCCAAAACUACUACUCAAAAGUGUUUAAAAAGAUUAAUUACAAGCUAUCAAAUAGCACUUUUUGAGUAGUAAUCACGUAGUGCACAAUUGGCACAAAAUCUCAUCAUCCUCUCUCUAAAUCUUCUCCCUAGCAGCUGUACCAGCAAAUGGCCUAUCGAUAGGUGGAGAAUGUGCUACUCUCUCACUCCGCGUGACUAUUUGAACAUCUUUGUGAGUGGGCCCAUACCCUUCCAAGAACAUAAUAAAGGGUGUCAAAGGCGGCACAUGCUAUAAAUACACUGGUGAGACUACGGGCUGUCGGGGAAUCUCAUCUGGGGUCAACCUGAAUGGCCUGGGGACCUACUGUCCAUGGGUAUAUCCACUAAAAUCUAAGUUCUCGUACAAACUGAUUGGGUUAGGAGCCUCUCCAUCCCAUCCCAUCAUAAAUACAUCACCCUAUGUGUGCCCAAUCAAAUAGAUUCCCCCUAGGAGUGGAGGUACAACUCUAGUGUCAUGAGUAGGUAACGAGUCUGUGGUCACUAUGGGUCAUCCCAAAUUAACCAAACCUUGAUCAAUCAAGUCCAGUAUAGCAUGUCUUAGUGUUGAGCAAUUGUCUAUAUCAUGGCCUGCUCUCUGGUGAUAAGCACAAUGAAGGUCUAUCCUGAAUCCUGGUGGGGUAGGUUGUAGUGGUGGCCUGGGCGGUAACGGGGCAAUCAAUCCCCCCUCAACCAAUCUCUGAAAUGCUAUGCUCAAUGACAUCCUAAGCUGUGUGAACUGUCUAGCUGGCCUCGGCGGAGAUGGUGCUCUAUACUGAUGGAACUACAUGGGUGGCCUCUAGGAUGCCUGUGUAGCAUAUACUGGUUGUGGCGACGGAUGUAGAUAAGCAAGCCCUGCUGGCCUAAUGUGAAUAGCUGGCCUGUACUGAUCAUGUUGUAUCAUCUGAUAAGAGGUAUCUGAAAACUGCCUUUGAGUCGGAGGCCGACGCAGGGGCCUAUGCCCCAUCAUACCAAUGGUUCCAACAUCUGAUGGAUUGGAUCCUGACCCCGACUUCUUCCUCUUUGAGUCUAAGGAGGAAGAAUCUGCCCAUAAUCCUCUAGAUAUACCCUCCUCGAUGCUAUAAAGGGCAUGCACUAAGGAGCCAAAGUCUGUCUACAUAAAACCCAUGAGAUGUCUAGCAUAGCGGGGCUAAAGACUGGGUAUAAUCAUACUGAUCUGAUCACGCUUUGAGGGUCUGUCAAUAAUCUGUGCUAUUUUUUCCCUCUAGCAGGAGAUGAAUGAGGUAAUUGUCUCAUCCGACCUCUGUCUGACAACCUCUAACUCUCUCCGGGAUACAUCAGCUACAAUAUUAAAGGAAUACUGUCUGAGAAACUCCUGUACCAGAUGAUUACUACCAAAAAGUGCUAUUUUGUAGACCUAAUAAUAAUGGUUUUAAGCACCUUUGAGUAGUAAUCAUAUUCAUUUAACCCAAUUAAUUCAUUAAGGUCCUUAGUAAUUGGUUUUAACCAUUUUGUGGCAAGUUUACAUGUUUUUAUCAGCUUAUGAACCAAUUCAAGCAUGCCAAUUGAUGGAGGAGCUAUUUGGGCGAGUUAAGCAAGGAUUUUGGAUGAUUACAGGCUUGAAUUUCAAGUGGAAACACGAG
rnacentral:lncRNA from 1 species